rnacentral:lncRNA from 1 species
AGUCCUUUUGCUCUUGUUCAACUCGACUGUGAACUCUGUUCAUGCUUUCAUGUGAAAAAGAAUAGCGAUUGUUGAAUCAGUUUGCUUUUUCGACUGUGAUUGAGGUGGUUCGGCUACCUUUAGGAGUGAAGGCAAGAUCCGACUUUUCAUCGAGUGAAUAGCAGGCUUGUAGUUGAAUCGAGAUUGGUGAUUAGUACAAGAAAAUCUAUCUCUUUCUCGCAGCUC